rnacentral:rRNA from 1 species
UAACUUAGUGGCGGACGGGUGAGUAACGCGUGGGUAACCUGCCUUACACAGGGGGAUAACACUUAGAAAUAGGUGCUAAUACCGCAUAAGCGCACAGUCCCGCAUGGGACAGAGUGAAAAACAUUAGUGGUGUAAGAUGGACCCGCGUCUGAUUAGCUUGUUGGCGGGGUAACGGCCCACCAAGGCGACGAUCAGUAGCCGGCCUGAGUGGGUGGACGGCCACAUUGGGACUGAGACACGGCCCAAACUCCUACGGAAGGCAGCAG